rnacentral:rRNA from 1 species
CAGUCGCCACGGUAAAACGUAGGGUGCAAGCGUUAAUCGGAAUUACUGGGCGUAAAGCGUGCGCAGGCGGUUAUAUAAGACAGAUGUGAAAUCCCCGGGCUCAACCUGGGAACUGCAUUUGUGACUGUAUAGCUAGAGUACGGCAGAGGGGGAUGGAAUUCCGCGUGUAGCAGUGAAAUGCGUAGAUAUGCGGAGGAACACCGAUGGCGAAGGCAAUCCCCUGGGCCUGUACUGACGCUCAUGCACGAAAGCGUGGGGAGCAAACAGGAUUAGAGACCCCUGUAGUCCCUGUCUCUUAUAC